rnacentral:rRNA from 1 species
UACGGAGGGUGCGAGCGUUGUCCGGAAUCACUGGGCGUAAAGGGCGCGUAGGCGGCUCGGGGAGUCAACGGUGAAAGCUCGGCGCUCAACGCCGAGUCGGCCGUCGAUACUCCCGUGCUCGAGCACUGUAGAGGCAGGUGGAAUUCCGGGUGUAGCGGUGGAAUGCGUAGAGAUCCGGAAGAACACCAGUGGCGAAGGCGGCCCGCUGGGCAGUGGCUGACGCUGAGGCGCGACAGCGUGGGGAGCAAACAGG